rnacentral:rRNA from 1 species
AUUGCCCCAGUAACGGCGAGUGAAGCGGCAAGAGCUCAAAUUUGAAAUCUGGCCUCCUUUGGGGGUCCGAGUUGUAAUUUGCAGAGGAUGCUUUGGGUGCGGCCGCGGCGCAGGUCCCUUGGAACAGGGCGUCGCAGAGGGUGAGAACCCCGUCUUGAGUCGCCGGCACGCACCCGUGCAAAGCUCCUUCGACGAGUCGAGUUGUUUGGGAAUGCAGCUCUAAAUGGGUGGUAAAUUUCAUCUAAAGCUAAAUAUUGGCCGGAGACCGAUAGCGCACAAGUAGAGUGAUCGAAAGGUUAAAAGCACCUUGAAAAGGGAGUUAAACAGCACGUGAAAUUGUUGAAAGGGAAGCGCUGGCGACCAGACUCGGGCGCGGGGGUUCAGCGGGCGUGAUCGCCCGUGCACUCCCCCGCGCUCCGGGCCAGCAUCGGUCUCGGCGGCCGGUCAAAGGCCCCCGGAAUGUGUCGUCCUCCGGGACGUCUUAUAGCCGGGGGUGCAAUGCGGCCAGCCGGGACCGAGGAACGCGCCUCGGCACGGAUGCUGGCGUAAUGGUCGUCAGCGACCCGUCUUGAAACACGGACCAAGGAGUCUAACAUCCACGCGAGUGUUCGGGUGUCAAACCCGUGCGCGCAGUGAAAGCGAACGGAGGUGGGAGCCCGCAAGGGUGCACCAUCGACCGAUCCUGAAGUCUUCGGAUGGAUUUGAGUAGGAGCGUGGCUGUUGGGACCCGAAAGAUGGUGAACUAUGCCUGAAUAGGGUGAAGCCAGAGGAAACUCUGGUGGAGGCUCGCAGCGGUUCUGACGUGCAAAUCGAUCGUCAAAUUUGGGUAUAGGGGCGAAAGACUAAUCGAACCAUCUGGUA